UGCCAGCCGCCGCGGUAAUACGGAGGGGGUUAGCGUUGUUCGGAAUUACUGGGCGUAAAGCGCACGUAGGCGGAUCGGAAAGUUGGGGGUGAAAUCCCGGGGCUCAACCCCGGAACUGCCUCCAAAACUAUCGGUCUAGAGUUCGAGAGAGGUGAGUGGAAUUCCGAGUGUAGAGGUGAAAUUCGUAGAUAUUCGGAGGAACACCAGUGGCGAAGGCGGCUCACUGGGUCACAACUGACGCUGAGGCACGAAAGCGUGGGGAGCAAACAGGAUUAGAUA
rnacentral:rRNA from 1 species